rnacentral:misc_RNA from 1 species
CUGAGUACUACACUCUCUACCCUUUGUGAACUAUUAUACCUGUUGCUUCGGCGGGCCUACCCUGUAGCUACCUGUAGCUACCCUGUAGACCGCCGAAGGACCAUUAAACUCUUGAUUAUUUUGGCAUCUCUGAGUAGCUUAUAAAUAAGUUAAAACUUAAUUA